rnacentral:rRNA from 1 species
GACAGAGGGUGCGAACGUUGUUCGGAAUUACUGGGCGUAAAGCGCGUGUAGGCGGCAGCGUGUGUCGGGCGUGAAAUCCCACGGCUCAACCGUGGAAGUGCACUCGAAACUGCGCAGCUAGAGUCCUGGAGAGGAAGGUGGAAUGCUUGGUGUAGAGGUGAAAUUCGUAGAUAUCAAGCGGAACACCGGUGGCGAAGGCGGGUCUCUGGGCCGAUACUGACGCUGAGGAGCGAAAGCGUGGGGAGCGAACAGG